CUGCAUCCGACGCCAGGACGGGGUUCGAGGUGCUACCUAACUUUUACUAACACUUCUAUACUAAACAGGGCCAUGAAAUCUCAAAUAAUUAAAAUGAAUUUAUAAUCCCAUAAUCAAAAUAGGCCAACACAUAUGGUCAAAGCCAUAUCACAUACUCUAAUAUUUAAACUCCUAUACAUGCCAUAGACUCAAAGUACUUGAAAUCACUACACCAAUAGCGUUAGCUUGACAGUGUGAUAAUAUCUCCGACGAACUCCAACCCGAAUAGACCUGGAAACCCUA
rnacentral:lncRNA from 1 species